GAUCUGCUAGAGAUGCUCUAACAGGUCAGGCUAUUGAAAAAGUGGUCAGGCACCAACCAAACAAAAUGCGGGUUAGUAUCCGGCUUGCCCCUGGCCAGGCAAAUUUCUCUUGUACUGUGUUAGUUGAGUUUGUUUAGUUGCUCUCUCAUGAUUACAUAAGAGCUUGUUUCAUCUAGUCAGUGAAGAAGCAAGUCUUAGCCUGGAAUUUUGCAAACGAAACCCGGGCAGCAAGUCUGGUUGUGGUAGUGUGUGAAGCCAAGCAGCAGUUGGAUUGGGAGGCACUGGGAAAGGUAGUAGCGAUGUAAGCAAUGUGAUUUCUCCUCCUAAGAUAGCCAUGCGUGGUGAUUGCGCUCUCUCUCUUUGAGCGGACGCCAUCUAGUUUCAUAUCUCGAGUGGUGGAGCUAGGCGAACCCAAUGUUCAUGCCAAAUGUGCCCUGUCAGAAGGCUGGCAAACGCCACGCAACACCUUCAGCCAAAACAGAUGAGAGAAGCAUAAUUGCAACCUAUGAGCAUGAGGAAAGGGACAAGCCGCGAUGCACAUUGUUGGCGUAACACUACUCUGCAUAGCUUCACGGUGGCAGAAGAGGCAAUCCGAGAUGCCACCGGCCGAAAGGAUCGAUGUCGAGUCCUACCUGGUGGAAGUUUGGGCAAUUUCCCGUGAUGCGGCGACACCCUCUAGACUGCAUAUGUUUUAUCAAGCACUUUAUGGGACCUAGCAAGAUUCCUACAUAACAACAAUUGCUAGAAAGUUUGAACUCGAUUUGAGGGCUUUAGAGUUGUGGCAGUCAAAGAAAAGAUGAUCAAUGUACUAACAUCUACAAUAGUCAUGUUUUUUCACAUGAAUGCCAUACUUUUUCUCUUAAUUAGCUCCCAAGUACUAUUAUUUUCUACUGUUUCCGGAAUUAGCCCAAUGGGUUGCGCACUUGCGCGGGCAAUGUCUCUAUUGAUUAUUCAUUUAACAAGUUAAAUAA
rnacentral:lncRNA from 1 species